rnacentral:rRNA from 1 species
UGACCGCUGGCGGCGUGCCUAAUACAUGCAAGUCGAGCGAACAGACGAGGAGCUUGCUCCUCUGACGUUAGCGGCGGACGGGUGAGUAACACGUGGAUAACCUACCUAUAAGACUGGGAUAACUUCGGGAAACCGGAGCUAAUACCGGAUAAUAUAUUGAACCGCAUGGUUCAAUAGUGAAAGACGGUUUUGCUGUCACUUAUAGAUGGAUCCGCGCCGCAUUAGCUAGUUGGUAAGGUAACGGCUUACCAAGGCGACGAUGCGUAGCCGACCUGAGAGGGUGAUCGGCCACCCUGGAACUGAGACACGGUCCAGACUCCUACGGGAGGCAGCAGUAGGGAAUCUUCCGCAAUGGGCGAAAGCCUGACGGAGCAACGCCGCGUGAGUGAUGAAGGUCUUCGGAUCGUAAAACUCUGUUAUUAGGGAAGAACAAAUGUGUAAGUAACUAUGCACGUCUUGACGGUACCUAAUCAGAAAGCCACGGCUAACUACGUG